rnacentral:rRNA from 1 species
UCGCGGCCUAUCAGCUUGUUGGUGAGGUAAUGGCUCACCAAGGCGACGACGGGUAGCCGGCCUGAGAGGGUGACCGGCCACACUGGAACUGAGACACGGUCCAGACUCCUACGGGAGGCAGCAGUGGGGAAUAUUGCACAAUGGGCGCAAGCCUGAUGCAGCAACGCCGCGUGAGGGAUGAAGGCCUUCGGGUUGUAAACCUCUUUUAGCAGGGAAGAAGCGAAAGUGACGGUACCUGCAGAAAAAGCACCGGCUAACUACGUGCCAGCAGCCGCGGUAAUACGUAGGGUGCAAGCGUUGUCCGGAAUUAUUGGGCGUAAAGAGCUCGUAGGCGGUUUGUCGCGUCUGCUGUGAAAUUCCGAGGCUCAACCUCGGACUUGCAGUGGGUACGGGCAGGCUAGAGUGCGGUAGGGGAGAUGGGAAUUCCUGGUGUAGCGGUGGAAUGCGCAGAUAUCAGGAGGAACACCAAUGGCGAAGGCACAUCUCUGGGCCGUAACUGACGCUGAGGAGCGAAAGCGUGGGGAGCGAACAGGAUUAGAUACCCUGGUAGUCCACGCCGUAAACGGUGGGUGCUAGCUGUGGGCCACAUUCCACGUGGUCCGUGACGAAGUUAACACAUUAAGCACCCCGCCUGGGGAGUACGG